AUGCACCCCCUUGCAUGCUUAUCUUCCAAUCAACCCCAAGCUGUCAGCGAGUUAAUCUAUGGAAGUUCUGCUAGGUGGAAACAAGAUAGGGUUUGUGAACUCUUUCUGCCAAUGGAUGCUGAGCUGAUACUAAAUAUUCCGUUGUGCACCAGACACAUAUCAGAUUUCUGGGCCUGGACAAAUGAAAAGAAAGGAGAGUUCACAGUCCGCUCGGCCUAUAGAAUGCUAAUCACGACCAAGCUGAACCAGGAGGCAUGGCUUGAGGGCCAAAGUGGUGUUUCGGAGGGCAAUAGGGAACAAAAGGCAUGGACCAAAUUGUGGCAGGUUAAGGUUCCCUCAAAACUGAAAGUCUUCCUUUGGAGAUUAGCCCAGUGCUCUCACCACUACCCACGGCUGAUAAACUGA
rnacentral:rRNA from 1 species